rnacentral:rRNA from 1 species
GUGGGGAAUCUUCCGCAAUGGACGAAAGUCUGACGGAGCAACGCCGCGUGAGUGAUGAAGGUCUUCGGAUUGUAAAGCUCUGUUAAUCGGGACGAAAGAGCCUAGUGUGAAUAAUGCUAGGAAGUGACGGUACCGGAAUAGAAAGCCACGGCUAACUACGUGCCAGCAGCCGCGGUAAUACGUAGGUGGCAAGCGUUGUCCGGAAUUAUUGGACGUAAAGCGCGCGCAGGCGGAUCUGCCAGUCUGUCUUAAAAGUUCGGGGCUUAACCCCGUGAUGGGAUGGAAACUACAGAUCUAGAGUAUCGGAGAGGAAAGUGGAAUUCCUAGUGUAGCGGUGAAAUGCGUAGAUAUUAGGAAGAACACCAGUGGCGAAGGCGACUUUCUGGACGAAAACUGACGCUGAGGCGCGAAAGCCAGGGGAGCGAACGGGAUUAGAAACCCCUGUAGUCC